GCAGUUGAACGCACGCGACUCAUCUGGAGACACACGACUCACUUGGACAAACUUUUCUACCACGGAACACCUCGCAUAUCAACUUUUUGCACAUCCUGAAAGCCUGGGAGAAUACAUAACAGAGUGCUCUAUGGGUUCAGCAGGCUCUGAUAUAGACACGGAACUGUUGCGCAACUGCGCCGAGAAUAUGGUGACCAGCACAUUGGAGCUCCAAAUGGACACUAACCCUGCCACUGCGGACGCCCUCGACAAGAAGAAAAAAAAGACUGCGCGCAGAAAAAUGUUUAUUUUGAAUGAGCUGAUUCAAACCGAAAAGCCCUAUGUGCGAGACCUACGGGAAUGCAUUGACAUUUACAUGAGGGAGAUGUUGACCAAGGAGGAAGAGAUCCCUCCUGGAAUCGUCAAUGUGGAGCACGUCCUCUUUGGGAACAUUUUGGAGCUGUAUUAAUUCCAUCACAGAUAAGCGUUAGCAGUGACCUUACUCAAAAAUGAUUUAGAUCUUUACGUAGAGUGGACCAAGCUUAACAAAUAGGCUAUUCCUGGUCAAUUAUCACAUGUAAAACAUUGUCUUACAUUACAGACAUUACCACAAGUUUGUUUGUAUGCACUCUUCCACUUCAUUGAGUGAGAUGUAUGCAAACCUUUAACAGCAAUGGCCACCGCUCUUAUUUUGAAAUGUAUUAAUUGAGUUCCUUGUCAUAUCUUUCUUCAGCAUCUGUCAUGUCAUUUCCAUCUCGGCCUGACAGUAUCUUUCUCAAAGAGCUGGAAAAAUACGAACAAGUCCCCGAAGAUGUCGGAAAGUGCUGCGUCACAUGGAACAUUCAGCAAAAGCACGGACUUGCCUACUCAGUGGACUAUUACCUGCUGAAGCCCGUGCAGAGAAUUACAAAAUAUCCAUUCCUGUUAAAGGAUCUGCUGGAAUGCUGUGAAGAAGGGAAAGCCGAACUCAUGAAAGCCCUGGAUGUGACUCUCAGCAUUCCCAAGAGAGCCAACGAUGCCAUGCAUCUGUCCGUGCUGGAAGCAUUGAGUCCCAAGGCAAGCUGCUCCUACAGGAGCCCUUCAAGGUGUGGGAUUCAAAGAUCCCAUUCAAAAUGGGGAAAAAUAGACAACUCUUCCUCUUGGAGAAGUCCUUGGUUGUGUGCAAGGUAGUCAAGGACAACAAGGGGAAAGCAGGUGCAGAUAUCAGAGAAAACUCAAUAUUGCCGAGAUAAAGCUGACAGAGCACCUGAAGGGAGACGCCCGCAAGUUUGCGUUUUCGUUGGGCCGAACCUGGACACGGAGCAGCAGUGUUCUGAAGGGCCUCCACUACUGAGAUCAAGAUGGACUGGAUCGAACAUAUCUGGAAGCUGAUCCAGGAGCACACCAUCAACCUGGGGAAAGCGCUCAAGGAGCCAAGGCGUAUUCCCAAAAGUAGCAACAGACAAGCUCCACAAGAGUCAAAGAGCGAAAAGGACAAAGCCGAUGGUGAUGAGAAGCAGCCAAGAAAAAAUCCUUGACGUGUAGAAGGCCAUGGCGUCACCUCGGACCUGCCCGGCUGAAAGGAAGGAUCGCUGCUCUGCUGAGGGUUGGCGGGCAGGAUAUGGGCAGGGCUUUUACUCCACACUACAGUUUGUCACCACGCACAAAGGAAAUGCUUUUAAUGAUUUAUUAUAUUUCAACAAAUAUCCCUUGUCACGACGAAACAAUUCCCUCUUUGUCAUUUAUCUCCCCUUACAGUGUUUUGAUAUCUGAACGGGCAUUUUUUUCAAGAAUACAUUUUUAUAUGAAAUAUUCUGUUGAGUACCGUAUUUUCCACACUAUUAGGCCACCGCAGUAUAAGACGCACCUUCAAUGAAUGGCUUACAUGUAGUCCUGAGGUUACGAACGAGUUCCGUUCCUACACUGGUGAAGGAAAACGAAUUUCCGCGUAAGUCGGAAUUAACCCUUUAAGUACCCCUAAAUUACUAUCCAAACGUCCAAAAGUAUUGCAUUUUGUUUAAUGAUGGAGGAUGCACUAGCCUCUGGUGGCAGCGUUGGGUC